UAAAUUUUCAGCAAUGGAUGUCUUGGCUCGCGCAACGAUGAAGAACGCAGCAAAACGC
rnacentral:rRNA from 2 species